GAGCCCAGUGUCCAAGUCAGUCCAGAUCCAUCUGGAUCUUGAGCCUAUCUUCUGGGGUGUUGGCUAUUCCUGCUAAAUUUGGAAAUGCCAUCUCUUUGACACAUGGAAUCCAUCGGCAAUAUUGACACCAUCUCUGUGACAUCCUGGGCAAUGAGCAAGGACUGCCACCUCCUGAUCCCCGAGCAUGGAGAGUGGAGACAAGGCGGGAACAGCACAGGCUGACCUGAUGACUUGGGAGGAGAGCACCCCACCCCUCUUCACAAAGCACACCUGGGGACUUGAGACUUAAGGAGACACUGUGGGGAGAGGUGUUUGUUGGGAACAAGUGCUGAAUUGGUAGAGUUGGGUGUGCCAGGACAGACAUUUGGUGUUUGCAGGACUGCUUGCUUCUUCCUGACUUUGUGGACUCAUUGUUUGUUCCUUGGUUUGUGGACUCAUAUCCCUGUUCCCUUGUUUUGCUGGACUGGGCAUAGCUAGAGGCUGCUGUGUAUGUGUGUGUGUGUGAGUGAACUUUGCUCUGGGACUUGCCAAGAACGUGGAAGCGUUUGGGGGGAAAUUUGGAGCAUUAAAGGGGAGUUUGAACUCUCA